GAUGAAGAACAUAGCGAAAUGCGAUACGUAAUGUGAAUUGCAGAAUUCAGUGAAUCAUCGAAUCUUUGAACGCAUAUUGCGCUCUCUGGUAUUCCGGAGAGCAUGCUUGUUUGAGUAUCAGUAAACACCUCAACUCCCUUUCUUCUUGAAAUGGAGCUGGACUUGAGUGAUCCCAACGCUUUAUUCAUAAAGUGGCGGGUUACUUGAAAUGCAGGUGCAGCUGGACUUUUCUCUGAGCUAUAAGCAUAUCUAUUUAGUCUGCCUCAAAACAGAUUAUUACCUUUGCUGCAGCUAACAUAAAGGAGAUUAGUUCUUGUGCUGACUGAUGCAGGAUUCACAAAGACCGCUUCGGCUGUCUUUGUAAACUCGAUCUCAAAUCAAGUAAGACUACCCGCUGAACUUAAGCAUAUCAAUAAGCGGAGGA
rnacentral:misc_RNA from 1 species